CAAAGAGUAGUUUAAAUAAAACAUUGGCUUUGGGAGCCAAAAAUGGGGGUUAGACCCCCUUCUCUUUGA
rnacentral:tRNA from 1 species